rnacentral:rRNA from 1 species
UACGUAGGGGGCAAGCGUUGUCCGGAAUCAUUGGGCGUAAAGCGCGCGUAGGCGGCCAGAUAAGUCCGGUGUGAAAGUCACAGGCUCAACCUGUGAAUGCCGCUGGAAACUGUCUGGCUUGAGUCCGGAAGGGGCGAGUGGAAUUCCUGGUGUAGCGGUGAAAUGCGCAGAUAUCAGGAGGAACACCGGUGGCGAAGGCGGCUUCCUGGACCGACACUGACGCUGAGGCGCGAAAGCUAGGGGAGCAAACGGG